AUACGUAGGUGGCAAGCGUUGUCCGGAUUUAUUGGGCGUAAAGCGAGCGCAGGCGGUUUCUUAAGUCUGAUGUGAAAGCCCCCGGCUCAAACGGGGAGGGUCAUUGGAAACUGGGAGACUUGAGUGCAGAAGAGGAGAGUGGAAUUCCAUGUGUAGCGGUGAAAUGCGUAGAUAUAUGGAGGAACACCAGUGGCGAAGGCGACUCUCUGGUCUGUAACUGACGCUGAGGCUCGAAAGCGUGGGGAGCAAACAGGAUUAGAUACCCUGGUAGUCCACGCCGUAAACGAUGAGUGCUAAGUGUUGGAGGGUUUCCGCCCUUCAGUGCUGCAGCUAACGCAUUAAGCACUCCGCCUGGGGAGUACGACCGCAAGGUUGAAACUCAAAUGAAUUGGCGGGG
rnacentral:rRNA from 1 species